UCCUACGGGAGGCAGCAGUAGGGAAUAUUGCGCAAUGGGCGAAAGCCUGACGCAGCGACACCGUGUGUAGGAUGAAGAUCUUCGGAUUGUAAACUACUGUCAGUUGAAGACGAAGGUAUUAGAGUUAAGAGCUUGAGUAUUGACGGUAUUCAACGAGGAAGUCUCGGCUAACUCCGUGCCAGCAGCCGCGGUAAUA
rnacentral:rRNA from 1 species